AUUAUGCUCCAAGACACUGAAUCUGAAAGGAUGCAUCCAGUCUUGCCAAGUGGUUUCACUACCAAGGCCAGUCUCCAUCUAUGAUAGACCCAAGGAAGAUCAUUUACAACUAGAAUCUAGUCAUUUAGGAGAUUGUGUGCUCCCUGGAUGGGCCAUCUGCACUGGUGUGAGGUUUAUCUCAUUGAAGGGAAAACCAAAGGAAUCUUCUUGAAUAUCAGCACCAGGAAGAGCAGUACAAACUGGAGAAGCUGGGUGUCAGCCCAGAACGGGAACUAAAUAAGCACUCGUAGCUUGAAUGAAUAAACAAGCAGCUCCCACUUGGAUAGUAUUUCCACACAUCAGGACUUGAGAGGUAAGUGGGUAGAGCUCGGUGCCUAUUACUUAUCUUCUGGAAUUAACAUGGAUUGUGCUGAGAACUCAAGCAAAAAUAAAAUAACUUUUAGACU
rnacentral:lncRNA from 10 species